rnacentral:rRNA from 1 species
GACGAACGCUGGCGGCGUGCCUAAUACAUGCAAGUAGAACGCACAGUUUAUACCGUAGCUUGCUACACCAUAGACUGUGAGUUGCGAACGGGUGAGUAACGCGUAGGUAACCUGCCUGGUAGCGGGGGAUAACUAUUGGAAACGAUAGCUAAUACCGCAUAAUAUUAAUUAUUGCAUGAUAAUUAAUUGAAUGGUGCAAUUGCACCACUACCAGAUGGACCUGCGUUGUAUUAGCUAGUAGGUGAGGUAACGGCUCACCUAGGCGACGAUACAUAGCCGACCUGAGAGGGUGAUCGGCCACACUGGGACUGAGACACGGCCCAGACUCCUACGGGAGGCAGCAGUAGGGAAUCUUCGGCAAUGGACGAAAGUCUGACCGAGCAACGCCGCGUGAGUGAAGAAGGUUUUCGGAUCGUAAAGCUCUGUUGUAAGAGAAGAACGGGUGUGAGAGUGGAAAGUUCACACUGUGACGGUAUCUUACCAGAAAGGGACGGCUAACUACGUG